UACGUAGGGAGCAAGCGUUGUCCGGAAUCAUUGGGCGUAAAGCGCGUGUAGGCGGUUCGGUAAGUCUGCUGUGAAAGUCCAGGGCUCAACCCUGGGAUGCCGGUGGAUACUGUCGGGCUAGAGUGCGGAAGAGGCGAGUGGAAUUCCCGGUGUAGCGGUGAAAUGCGCAGAUAUCGGGAGGAACACCAAUUGCGAAGGCAGCUCGCUGGGACGUUACUGACGCUGAGACGCGAAAGCGUGGGGAGCAAACAGG
rnacentral:rRNA from 1 species